CGUCGGAGUGGCGGAAUAGGUAUACGCGCUAGCUUGAGGUGCUAGUGAGAGAAAUCUCGUAGGGGUUCAACUCCCCUCUUUCGCAA
rnacentral:tRNA from 1 species